GACGGAGGUGGGCAAGCGUUGUUCGGAAUUACUGGGCGUAAAGGGCGCGUAGGCGGUCUGUUAAGUUCGGUGUGAAAGCCCCCGGCUCACCUGGGGAACUGCGCCGGAAACCGACAGACUCGAGUACCGGAGAGGAGGGUGGAAUUCCUGGUGUAGCGGUGAAAUGCGUAGAUAUCAGGAGGAACACCUGCGGUGUAGACGGCUUUCUGGACCAUUGCUGACGCUGAGACACGAAAGCGUGGGUAGCAAACAGG
rnacentral:rRNA from 1 species